UUUGUUCGGGAAGAAGAACUGACGGUACCGGAACGAAUAAGCAUCGGCUAACUCCGUGCCUGCAGCCGCGGUAAUACGGAGGAUGCAAGCGUUAUCCGGAAUUAUUGGGCGUAAAGCGUCCGCAGGUGGUUAGACAAGUCUGCUGUUAAAGCGUGGAGCUUAACUCCAUAAGGGCGGUGGAAACUGUCUGACUAGAGUUCGGUAGGGGUCACGGGAAUUCCCAGUGUAGCGGUGAAAUGCGUAGAUAUUGGGAAGAACACCAGCGGCGAAAGCGCGUGACUGGGCCGAGACUGACACUCAUGGACGAAAGCUAGGGGAGCGAAAGGGAUUAGAUACCCCUGUAGUCCUAGCUGUAAACGAUGGGAACUAGGUGUUGACCGUAUCGACCCGGUCAGUGCCGUAGCUAACGCGUUAAGUUCCCCGCCUGGGGAGUACGCACGCAAGUGUGAAACUCAAAGGAAUUGACGGGGGCCCGCACAAGCGGUGGAGUAUGUGGUUUAAUUCGAUGCAACGCGAAGAACCUUACCAGGGCUUGACAUGUCCGGGACCUUCUUGAAAGAAGAGGGUGCCUUCGGGAACCGGAGCACAGGUGGUGCAUGGCUGUCGUCAGCUCGUGUCGUGAGAUGUUGGGUUAAGUCCCGCAACGAGCGCAACCCUCGUCCUCAGUUGCCAUCAUUGAGUUGGGCACUUUGGGGAGACUGCCGGUGACAAACCGGAGGAAGGUGGGGAUGACGUCAAGUCAGCAUGCCCCUUACGUCCUGGGCUACACACGUACUACAAUGCUGUGGACAAAGAGUUGCGAGCCGGCGACGGCAAGCCAAUCUCAUAAACCACGGCUCAGUUCAGAUUGCAGGCUGCAACUCGCCUGCAUGAAGGAGGAAUCGCUAGUAAUCGCAGGUCAGCAUACUGCGGUGAAUACGUUCCCGGGCCUUGUACACCAUGGGAGUUGGCCACGCCCGAAGUCGUUACUCCAACC
rnacentral:rRNA from 1 species